AAUCAUGAAUGAUCCCACAACACGUUUCCUUUUACACACCGAAAUGUCCGAGACAUCCCGAUUGGACGUCACUUCACUUGUGACGUCAUGUAAUGCAAACAUAGCAACGUCUUGGCGACGGAUUUAUUACAGAGCUUUUGAUGAAAUUGCAAAACAAUGACUAAUUUUAUGGAUCGCAUCCAAACUUCGAUACAUGCAUUGCGGAGUAAAUAUCGCAGCACAGAUCUUUGUGGAAAACUCAAGAAAUAUACGUGUGGUGCGGCUGGUGCCUUCAGUUGUUGCAGUGAUGGUGGUAUUGUGGACAUUGGUCCUUUUCCUUUCACAUAUGGCCGUAAAAACCAGUUCGAUAUGUCCGGAUCAUACGCCGGAAAUCAAUGUACAAGUAUGGCCCUGACCGCCAUCAUUCAGCACAAGAUAUAUUCAGAGUUUACACCCAGAACAAUCAACAAAAUCUUGAAAGAAGGCAACAAACUCCACACUAGACUCAGAGAAGAUAUCGUCCUGAGUAAUAAUUCGGAUAACAGAGUGGCGGUUGAAGAUUUCCCACACGAGGAUUACAUUGACAUAGGAAAGGUAUUUGGAAGGAAUACCCAUGUUAGAAUGAGGGAACCUUGUCGAGAUGUCUUUACAACUGGAAGAGAUGAUUUUGUUGAUUUUUUAACCAUAAGGGAGUACUUAGAGAGUUGGUACACAUGCCUGAGAAAAAUGGGAUUUCUCCUCACCAUACAUGCGUUUUCAUACGCCAUUCUCAUCAACAAAAAUGGAGUAGUCAUGUUUGACUCUCAUGGCCACUUAAAACAUAAAGGAGAAGCUAUAAAGUCAAAGGCCGGGGCAAUAAUGUUUCCAUCAGCUGCGGAACUGGAGGAGUUUUUAGUUGGCAUGUACGGUGUGGGGAGACACGCCGUCAUUGCCCCGGUCUGCGUCUCCUUUAAAGAGAAGGCCACUCGACCAAAUAAAGUGGAGAGAAAGAAGAAGAGCUUAAAAGAAGUAUUGUACCAGCCCCUACUUUUGACGGCUCGAAAUGUAAAGAACAAAAAAGUGCACGUCGAGGCUAACAAUUACGAGUAUGAUGAAUCACCAUUUGUGGGAAUGUUCGGAGGCGGGAACUAGAGGAAAAACGUAAUAAAAUCAUUAAAGCCGAUUUAAAUUGUUACACAACCCAGCGAUGCGAUGCAACGACCCGAUAAUUCCAAUCUUACACAAUUGAAAUAAUCACCACGUUGUUCCCGGGGCAAUGUUCACACUCAUUCUACUUCGCACGUGAUUUUCGUGACAAGUAUUGAUAUAAUUGUCGCUAACAUGGAUUUUUCACAGAGGGAUACGUCUAAAACAGCAGUGCAGGACUGGAAUAGACUGAAAGACAAUAUCGCAUGCGCUGAAACAGUAGAGAGCUUUAAAACAGCUCUCACACAUCGUUACUGAACACACUUAUCCCGACGAAUUUUACCAGAAGUGGUCCUGCGUCGUACAGUGUCGUAUACCUACAGAUAGAUAGAUACAGAUGUUUGAAAAAGAAGUUCGAUAUUUUCUACAAAAUAGAAAGUGGACAGUCGAAGUACAUGUGUUGUAUGACAAAAUACAUGUUACCGAACAAGGUCGUGUCUUUGCGACAAGGAUCAAGACCAUACAUACAGAACAUUGACGAUGGUGUGUUCAGAUUAGGAGCAUAAACGGUUGUCAUAGCGGCAAAGAUUAAGACCCAUACAUGAUAACGUGAACUGAUGUGUUUUCAUAUCUGGAGCAUUAAGGAUUACCAUGAAAACUUACAUCUACAUCAAAGCAAUGGUAUAAAUGGAUGACAGACGUUCGAAUGUACAAAGUUAUACAGUAGAUUUUGGAGCAUAUAAGCUAUGUUGGCUUAUGUUGACUGUACAAGCGCGUGUGAUGAUGUCAUGUGAUGUCAUGUGUUGUAGAUGUCACAAUAGUCUAGUGCAGCUCGGUCCUUUUAUUUUUUUUUUUUGAUGCAGGGAGAGCAUUUGAAUGUGCACACAGACCUUGCCU